AGUAGAGAUUUUAUUUCCAUCAUUAGACAAUUUUAAAGCCUUAGCAAUCAACUCAACAGAAAUGACAUACGCAUUAUCAUUCAAGGGGACUUCAAAUUUGUCUUCUUCAUCAACUAUUUUUAGAGUUCUAUAGAAUUCUUGAACCAAUCUAGGAUAAUAAGCAUUAGUGCAUUCACAAACGUUCAUCCAUUCUUGAAAUUCAAAG
rnacentral:misc_RNA from 1 species